CCUACGGGAGGCAGCAGUAGGGAAUCUUCCGCAAUGGACGAAAGUCUGACGGAGCAACGCCGCGUGAGCGAAGAAGGUCUUCGGAUUGUAAAGCUCUGUUGUUAGGGAAGAACAAGUACCGUUCGAAGAGGGCGGUACCGUGACGGUACCUAACGAGAAAGCCACGGCUAANCUACGUGCCAGCAGCCGCGGUAAU
rnacentral:rRNA from 1 species